UGAGGAAUAUUGGACAAUGGGCGCAAGCCUGAUCCAGCCAUGCCGCGUGCAGGAAGAAGCAUCUAUGGUGUGUAAACUGCUUUUGUACGGGAAGAAACACUCCUUCGUGAAGGAGCUUGACGGUACCGUAAGAAUAAGGAUCGGCUAACUCCGUGCCAGCAGCCGCGGUAAUACGGAGGAUCCAAGCGUUAUCCGGCAUCAUUGGGUUUAAAGGGUCCGUAGGCGGUUUAGUAAGUCAGUGGUGAAAGCCCAUCGCUCAACGAUGGAACGGCCAUUGAUAUUGCUAGACUUGAAUUAUUAGGAAGUAACUAGAAUAUGUAGUGUGGCGGUGAAAUGCUUAGAUAUUACAGGGAAUACCAAUUGCGAAGGCAGGUUACUACUAAUGGAUUGACGCUGAUGGACGAAAGCGUGGGUGGCGAACA
rnacentral:rRNA from 1 species